GGCCCCUUGGUCAAGUGGUUAAGACAUCGCCCUUUCACGGCGGUAACAGGGGUUCGAAUCCCCUAGGGGUCA
rfam:Caloramator mitchellensis strain VF08 ABG79_contig000005, whole genome shotgun sequence.